GAUGAACGCUAGCGGCAGGCCUAACACAUGCAAGUCGAGGGAGAAGCCCUUUCGGGGGCAGAAACCGGCGUACGGGUGCGUAACGCGUAUGCAACCUACCUUUCACAGGGGGAUAGCCCGAAGAAAUUUGGAUUAAUACCCCAUAAUAUUAUUGGAAGGCAUCAUUUGAUAAUUAAAACUGCGGUGGUGAAAGAUGGGCAUGCGUCCUAUUAGCUAGUUGGAGUGGUAACGGCACCCCAAGGCUACGAUAGGUAGGGGUCCUGAGAGGGAGAUCCCCCACACUGGUACUGAGACAGGGACCAGACUCCUACGGGAGGCAGCAGUGAGGAAUAUUGGUCAAUGGUCGGAAGACUGAACCAGCCAUGCCGCGUGCAGGAAGAAUGCCUUAUGGGUUGUAAACUGCUUUUAUAUGGGAAGAAUAAGGCGUACGUGUACGUUGAUGACGGUACCAUAUGAAUAAGCAUCGGCA
rnacentral:rRNA from 1 species